rnacentral:lncRNA from 1 species
AUGCCCCUCCUUCCCCCAGCACAAAAAUUAAACAUUGUUCCUGUAGCUUUGCCAGUCCUUUCUUUUUCAGACUAUACAUAUGGUAUCACUAAAAAAAGCUCUCGAAUCAUGCAGUUAAACUCAGACACAGUGUGCAAUUUUGUGUGUCCAACAUUCAUUUCUCUGACAAAACACUGGAAGGCAAACCAGGAGUUUUCUUCCAUCCUCUCACCUCGGCCUCUUUGGCACACUGCAGAGAAAAAACCUGGAGGCAUCAUAGUUGCUGAACAGCUUGAGAGCUUGAGCUCGUGUGUCCCGGUGGCUUCUGAAUGGGCACAGGGCCUAUUGUCCAGGAACAGAAGCUGGGAAAUAUUUUGGUUGCCUGUUUCUCUGUUGCUGGUACUGCUGCUCCACACUCAGACAGAAGCUGAGAUGCAGGGUGGCUGCAGAGAAAGAGGAGUGUCUCUCACUGACCAAAGCUGA